ensembl:lncRNA
CCAAACCAGGGGUGCCCCGAGGGUGUCUUUCUUGUGCCUGUCCCAGCAGUGGGUUUUGGAACCACAUAACCUGUGUUUCACAGGGUCACAGCCGGCAUAGAGGACGCCAGCUUCAGGAUGAAGCUUCGGGACUAGUGGUACCCCGAGUCUCACCCAUGUCUGAUUUAGAUGACAACACUUUGGACUUCAGAGCUGAUACUGGAAGGACUGGGCGGUGUCUCCAUUGAAACACAUGUCAUAUGGAGAGUGUGAAACAGGAACCCAAGGACUGGCUUGGGAAGCUGGUGGUCACUGAGCAAGCCCUGGCCACCCUGGGCUGGUGGCACAAAGAUGCAGGACUAGACAUAUGGGGCUCACUGACACCUGCUGAAUGGGUGAACCAAAGACGACGUGCAGCUGCCGAAUUCUGGAGCCGCAGCAAGCUGGAAGGAGCUCAGCCGUUCAGACUUACAGGUGGAUUCUUCACCGUCUGGGCCACCAGGGUUGAUAGCUAAGAUCUGGCGGCUCUAGAGGAAGACUUCAGAGGUCGGGGGCACCUUCUUCUGUUUUUAAAGCUGUCCUUUGGCGCCCCCAGGGCCCUAAACGUUGACCUGCCCACCUCUCCAGCCCCGGAAGUGUGCGCCCAGUCACGUCCGACUCUGUGACCCCGUGGACGGCAGCCCGCCAGGCGCCUCUGUCCACAGGCUUUUCUAGGCAAGAGUGCUGGAGUGGGCUUGCCACUUCUUCUCUCGGGGAUCUUCCCGACCCAGAGACUGAGCCCCGUCGCUUGCGUCGCCCGCUUUAGCUGGAAGACGCUUCACCACUAGCGCCACCUGGAGGCGCCCUCCGCUCCAGCGAGGUUUAGCAACUGGCCUGAGGUCACUCAGCGGGUCGGGGGAGAAGCUGGGAUUUGAACCCAGGUCCAGCCCGUGCAGGCUCCACGUUGUCACAUCUUGAAACACUGUUAGAGCUGAGACCCAGGGCGGGGCCGCUCACUCUCCGAUUCCUUUCUGCUGCCUGCCUGCCCGCCUGGGAGAGGGCGAGCGGGUCUGGACAGGAAACAGUGGGGAGAAGUGGAUGCCUCUGCGUAGGGAGGAGAGGAUCAGUCCUCCCUACCUGCUUCUUUCCUCCACAUAAAUAUUCACUGAGGACCUUCCUGCCCACACACAGCUCUGCUGGGCUCUGUGGACACAGCGAAAGCACACAGACUCGUUUUCUUGUCCUCCUGGAGCUCACCGUCUGCUUGUUGUUCAGUCGCUCAGUCGUGUCCAAUUCUCUGAGGCCCCAUGGACUGUAGCGCGCCAGGCUUCUCUGUCCUUGGGAUUCUCCAGGCAAGAAUACUGGAGUGGGCUGCCGUUUCCUUCUCCAGGGGAUCUUCCCAACCCAGGGAUCCAAUGUGGGUUGCCUGCAUUGGCAGGCGGAUUGUUUACCGCUGAGCCACCAGGCAAGCCCUCGUGGUCUAGUAGGGGUGAUAAGUGAAGUGAAAGUUGCUCAGUCGUGU